rnacentral:rRNA from 1 species
GACGAACGCUGGCGGCGUGCUUAACACAUGCAAGUCGAACGGAAAGGCCCUGCUUUUGUGGGGUGCUCGAGUGGCGAACGGGUGAGUAACACGUGAGUAACCUGCCCUUGACUUUGGGAUAACUUCAGGAAACUGGGGCUAAUACCGGAUAGGAGCUCCUGCUGCAUGGUGGGGGUUGGAAAGUUUCGGCGGUUGGGGAUGGACUCGCGGCUUAUCAGCUUGUUGGCGGGGUAGUGGCUUACCAAGGCUUUGACGGGUAGCCGGCCUGAGAGGGUGACCGGCCACAUUGGGACUGAGAUACGGCGCAGACUCCUACGGGAGGCAGCAGUGGGGAAUAUUGCACAAUGGGCGGAAGCCUGAUGCAGCAACGCCGCGUGCGGGAUGACGGCCUUCGGGUUGUAAACCGCUUUCGCCUGUGACGAAGCGUGAGUGACGGUAAUGGGUAAAGAAGCACCGGCUAACUACGUG